rnacentral:rRNA from 1 species
AAAGUCGAGCGAACAGAUGAAGUGCUUGCACUUCUGACGUUAGCGGCGAACGGGUGAGUAACACGUAAGGAAUCUACCUAUAAGCGGGGGAUAACAUUCGGAAACGGGUGCUAAUACCGCAUAAUAUCUUCUUCCGCAUGGAAGAAGAUUGAAAGACGGCUCUGCUGUCACUUAUAGAUGACCUUGCGGUGCAUUAGUUAGUUGGUGGGGUAACGGCCUACCAAGACGAUGAUGCAUAGCCGACCUGAGAGGGUGAUCGGCCACAUUGGGACUGAGACACGGCCCAAACUCCUACGGGAGGCAGCAGUAGGGAAUCUUCCGCAAUGGGCGAAAGCCUGACGGAGCAAUGCCGCGUGAGUGAAGAAGGCCUUCGGGUCGUAAAACUCUGUUAUAAGAGAAGAACAAAUUGUAGAGUAACUGCUACAGUCUUGACGGUAUCUUAUCAGAAAGCCACGGCUAACUACGUGCCAGCAGCCGCGGUAAUACGUAGGUGGCAAGCGUUGUCCGGAUUUAUUGGGCGUAAAGGGAGCGCAGGUGGUUUCUUAAGUCUGAUGUGAAAGCCCACGGCUUAACCGUGGAGGGUCAUUGGAAACUGGGAAACUUGAGUACAGAAGAGGAAUGUGGAACUCCAUGUGUAGCGGUGGAAUGCGUAGAUAUAUGGAAGAACACCAGUGGCGAAGGCGACAUUCUGGUCUGUUACUGACACUGAGGCUCGAAAGCGUGGGGAGCAAACAGGAUUAGAUACCCUGGUAGUCCACGCCGUAAACGAUGAGUGCUAGGUGUUGGAGGCUUCCGCCCUUCAGUGCCGCAGUUAACGCAUUAAGCACUCCGCCUGGGGAGUACGACCGCAAGGUUGAAACUCAAAGGAAUGAC